UCAUAUUCCUUGAGUGGGAUUAGAGGGACAAUCAUAUAGCUCGAGUUUCAUUCUUGGAAGUGGCAGAGAGUAUUCCUCAUUUAAUUAAUUAUUGUCUUCUUUUCAGGUCCUUUCGUUUUUUUUACCCCAAUCAUCAUAAUUAUAGGAACACUACAUCCAUUAAGGAUUAUAUUUGUGGUUGCAAUCUAUUGAUAGAGAGGCUGUGGGUGUCUAAGUGAUCGUGAACCUUUCAUUCGUUCCGGUCUCUGCUAUAUAAGCGUCGCGGCGAAAACAUUCACCCUCAAAAUAUCUAUCUAAAUGUGGCAAAUAUGUGUGGGGAGACAAGGAAUUCUUGUCUUUUACAUGUGAAAAGCAGGAAUGGAGAGUCGCCACCUAGUAUUUUGAUCACUAGGAACCCUAACUGGUCUUAAAGAUCGGGUACAGGGACUGGUUGCGCAAAGGGAGGUAUUAGCACCCCAAAUACGCCCUACCUAAGGUAAGCUACAUUGUUUUAUUGUCUAAUAAAAUCUAAGGUCUUGUCGUGUUUUUUAGUUGUUGGUCCGUCUAUGGUUCAAGAAAAGUCAUCUUCGGUAAAGAGAUCCUUAUCUUAUUAGGUAAAACCUAACCGUUCUAAUGUCAACAAAAGAAUUUAAUAUCCGGAAUAUGUCUUACGUAUAAGGUCGUAACCCUAGAUACUAAAAGAAAACAAAAUAAUGUUUUUUAGAAUUUUUAAAAUAUUGGCCUAGUUCUCGUUACUUUAAUAAACUAGUUAUUAAAGCCAAAAUGCAUGUUGAUAUAUAUUUUUGAAAUUUUCUUUGUUGUACGAAAAUACGAUUUUUUUUAAUUAUUAUUAUUGAGAGACUUGACCGUAUGCAUCAAAACAAAACAUUUUUUAUUUUUUUUAAUUUUUUGACGAAAACGAAGUAUUUUAAUACCGGAUUUGUAUCUUUAUAGUAUAAAAAUACAAACCAGUAUUGAUCAAAAUGCAGUAAAAAAAUACACGGGGAAAUCACAAAUUUUCCAAAAAUAUAUUUUUAAAAUUUUUUCCUUUUAGGCCGGGCCGGACCCGGCUCACCCAUUUUGGGCUAGGCCGGCACUGCCUGGCCCAGUAAACAAAAACAAACAGUGGAGAACUCUCCACUGUUCACUUGCAACGUGAACAAUGGAGCAGCCCGGGCGAGGAAGAAGAAGAAGAAGAGAAGUGGAGGCUUACCUGGCGGUCGUCCGUUCUUGCGGGAGCUGGAGCUGCCGGUUCUAUGCUGUUGGACGACGGUUCUGUUCCUUCUCUGUUCUAUUUUUUCUGUGUUCCUUCUUCUCCCCGCUUCUGUCUCCUGUUUCUCUUUUUCUUCUUCUGUUUCUAAUAGUGGUGGUGUCGUUGUUGAUGGUGGCGCUGGUGGCUGCAGACGGUGGCUCUUCUCUGCGGUGGCGGGCAGUGUUUGCUGCUGUUCUUCCCGUCUGUGCAGAGGCGCAGGCUUCUUCUUCUUCUUCACGGGUGUUGCAGCAGGGGGAGGAAGAUGGUGAGAGGCUGAUGGUGGCGCUGCUCCAAACGGCGGAGAGAGAGAGAGAGACCGAAGAGAUUGAGUGGUAACGGUCGGCGGUGUGCAGAGAGAUUGUAGCUGUGAAACGUUCCCCAUAACUGAAGCAAUCUGCGGCAUGUUAUUGCUGAAACUGUUGCUGAGGAGAAGACGAUGAACAGUUCAUGAAACGUCUCUGUUUCUCCAAUUCAAAUGGCCAUUUUGAUUUGGUCCUUGUGGUUUCACAAUUUUGUAAUCAAACUCUUGGACAAAUUAUAAUUGGAUCCCUGAACUUUAAUUUCUUCCAAAUAAAA